ACGCUCGACACCUACGGGAGGCAGCAGUGGGGAAUAUUGCACAAUGGGGGAAACCCUGAUGCAGCGACGCCGCGUGAGGGAAGAAGGUUUUCGGAUUGUAAACCUCUGUCCUUGGUGAAGAAGGAAGACGGUAGCCAAGGAGGAAGCCACGGCUAACUACGUGCCAGUAGCCGCGGUAAUCUGGAGGCGGGCUGGCAAGGC
rnacentral:rRNA from 1 species